CAAACCAAAGCUGGCGACCGGCGCACGGGUGAAUAACACGUAUCCAACCUGCCUCAUACUCGGGGAUAGCCUUUCGAAAGAAAGAUUAAUAUCCGAUAGCAUAUAUUUCCCGCAUGGGUUUUAUAUUAAAGAAAUUCGGUAUGAGAUGGGGAUGCGUUCCAUUAGUUUGUUGGGGGGGUAACGGCCCACCAAGACUACGAUGGAUAGGGGUUCUGAGAGGAAGGUCCCCCACAUUGGAACUGAGACACGGUCCAA
rnacentral:rRNA from 1 species